CCCGCUCCUCCCCAGCGCGGGGGGCGGCGUGGAUUUCGUAGUCGGGGUUUCUGCCUCCUCCAGCCCUGUUUGCAUGCGCGGGGCCGCGGCCGGGAGCCUCUGCCCCCCACCCGGUGGUUUUUCUGCGCCUGCCGCUGCACGGCGGCGGUGGCAGCCGCAGCAUGGCGAGCCCUCCGGAGACCGACGGCUUCUCGGACGUGCGCAAGGUGGGCUACCUGCGCAAACCCAAGAGCAUGCACAAGCGCUUCUUCGUGCUGCGGGCGGCCAGCGAGGCGGGGGGCCCGGCGCGCCUCGAGUACUAUGAGAACGAGAAGAAGUGGCGGCACAAGUCGAGCGCCCCCAAACGCUCGAUCCCCCUCGAGAGCUGUUUCAACAUCAACAAGCGGGCGGACUCCAAGAACAAGCACCUGGUGGCCCUCUACACCCGGGACGAGCACUUUGCCAUCGCGGCAGACAGCGAGGCUGAGCAGGACAGCUGGUACCAGGCCCUCCUCCAGCUGCACAACCGUGCCAAGGGCCACCACGACGGGGCCUCUGCCCUUGGGGCAGGAGGUGGCGGGAGCAGCUGCAGUGGCAGCUCGGGCCUUGGCGAGGCUGGGGAGGACUUGAGCUACGGGGACGGGCCCCCAGGACCCGCGUUCAAGGAGGUCUGGCAAGUGAUCCUGAAGCCCAAGGGCCUGGGUCAGACAAAGAACCUGAUUGGCAUCUACCGCCUCUGCCUGACCAGCAAGACCAUCAGCUUCGUGAAGCUGAACUCAGAGGCGGCGGCCGUGGUGCUGCAACUGAUGAACAUCCGGCGCUGUGGCCACUCAGAGAACUUCUUCUUCAUCGAAGUGGGCCGUUCCGCAGUGACAGGACCUGGGGAGUUCUGGAUGCAGGUGGAUGACUCGGUGGUGGCCCAGAACAUGCACGAGACAAUCCUGGAGGCCAUGCGAGCCAUGAGCGAUGAGUUCCGCCCUCGCAGCAAAAGCCAGUCCUCCUCCAACUGCUCCAACCCCAUUACUGUCCCCCUGCGCAGGCAUCACCUCAACAACCCGCCGCCUAGCCAGGUGGGGCUGACCCGCCGCUCGCGCACCGAGAGCAUCACCGCCACCUCUCCCGCCAGCAUGGUGGGCGGGAAGCAGGGCUCCUUCCGUGUCCGCGCCUCCAGCGAUGGCGAAGGCACCAUGUCCCGCCCGGCUUCGGUGGACGGCAGCCCCGUGAGUCCCAGCACCAACAGGACCCACGCCCACCGGCAUCGGGGCAGCUCCCGGCUGCACCCCCCGCUCAACCACAGCCGUUCCAUCCCCAUGCCUUCUUCUCGCUGCUCGCCUUCGGCCACGAGCCCGGUCAGCCUGUCGUCUAGCAGCACCAGUGGCCACGGCUCCACCUCUGACUGCCUGUUCCCGCGGAGAUCUAGUGCUUCUGUGUCGGGUUCCCCCAGCGAUGGCGGUUUCAUCUCUUCGGAUGAAUAUGGCUCCAGUCCCUGCGAUUUCCGAAGUUCCUUCCGCAGUGUCACCCCGGAUUCCCUGGGCCACACUCCACCCGCCCGCGGAGAGGAAGAGCUGAGCAACUACAUCUGCAUGGGAGGCAAGGGGGCCUCCACUCUUACCGCCCCCAAUGGGCACUACAUUUUGCCUCGGGGUGGCAACGGUCACCGUUACAUCCCAGGAGCCGGCUUGGGCAUGAGCCCUGCCCUGGCUGGCGAUGAAGCAGCCAGUGCUGCAGAUCUGGAUAACCGGUUCCGAAAGCGGACUCACUCUGCGGGUACAUCUCCCACCAUUUCCCACCAGAAGACCCCAUCCCAGUCCUCCGUGGCUUCCAUUGAGGAAUAUACAGAGAUGAUGCCUGCCUACCCGCCAGGAGGUGGCAGUGGAGGCCGGCUACCGGGGUACCGGCACUCCGCCUUCGUGCCCACCCAGUCCUACCCGGAGGAGGGUCUGGAAGGGCACCCCUUGGAGCGCCGUGGAGGCCACAACCGCCCAGACACCUCCACUCUCCACACUGAUGAUGGCUACAUGCCGAUGUCCCCAGGAGUGGCCCCAGUGCCCAGCAGCCGAAAAGGCAGUGGGGACUACAUGCCCAUGAGCCCCAAGAGUGUGUCUGCCCCGCAGCAGAUCGUCAGACGCCAUCCCCAGAGAGUGGAUCCCAACGGCUACAUGAUGAUGUCCCCGAGUGGCAGCUGCUCCCCUGACAUUGGCGGUGGGCCCAGCAGCAGCAGCAGCAGCAGCGCCGCCCCUUCUGGGAGUAGUUAUGGGAAGCCGUGGACUAAUGGGGUAGGGGGCCACCACUCCCACGCCCCGCCGCACCCGAAACUACCCGCGGAGAGCAGCGGUAGCAAGCUCUUGUCUUGUACAGGUGACUACAUGAACAUGUCGCCAGUGGGAGACUCCAAUACCAGCAGCCCCUCUGACUGCUACUAUGGCCCUGAGGACCCCCAGCACAAGCCAGUUCUCUCCUACUACUCAUUGCCAAGGUCCUUUAAGCACACCCAGCGCCCCGGGGAGCUGGAGGAGACUGCCCGGCACCAGCACCUCCGUCUUUCCUCCAGCUCUGGUCGCCUUCUCUAUGCUGCAGCAGCCGAAGACUCCUCUUCCUCCACCAGCAGCGACAGUCUGGGCGGGGGACACUGCGGGGCAAGGCCUGAGCCCGGCCUCCCGCAUCAUCUCCACCAUCAGGUCCUGCAGUCCCAUCUGCCUCGAAAGGUGGACACGGCUGCGCAGACCAACAGCCGCCUGGCUCGGCCCACCAGACUGUCCCUGGGGGACCCCAAGGCCAGCACCUUACCUCGGGCCCGAGAGCAGCAGCAGCGGCCAGCCCUGCUGCACCCUCCGGAGCCCAAGAGCCCAGGGGAAUAUGUGAAUAUCGAAUUUGGGUGUGAUCAGCCAGGCUACUUAUGUGGCCCCGUGGCAUCCCACAGCUCGCCUUCCAUCAGGUGUCCAUCCCAGCUCCAGCCAGCUCCCAAAGAGGAAGAGACUGGCACUGAAGAGUAUAUGAACAUGGACCUGGGGCCGGGCCGGAGGGCCACCUGGCAGGAGAGCCCUGGGGUCCAGCCUGGCAGAGUGGGCCCUGCACCUCCAGGGACUGCUAACAUGUCCAGGCCGACCCGGGCAGUGCCUAGCGGCCGGGGUGACUACAUGACCGUGCAGGUGGGUCGUCCCCGGCAGAGCUAUGUGGACACCUCUCCAGUUGCCCCUGUCAGCUAUGCUGACAUUCGGACGGGCAUCGUGGAGGAGGCCAGGCUUCCUGGGGCCCCAGCGGCUGCCCCCUCCUCAUCCUCAGCAGCCCCUGCUUCACCCACUGUGCCUCAAGGAGCGGGGGAGCCGGAGGCUCGCUCUUCCCUGCUGGGGGGCCCGCAGGGACCCGGGGGCAUGAGCGCCUUCACCAGGGUGAACCUUAGUCCCAGCUGCAACCAGAGUGCCAAAGUGAUCCGCGCAGACCCACAAGCGUGCCGGAGGCGGCACAGCUCCGAGACCUUCUCCUCUACUCCUAAUGCCACCAGGGCGGGCAACACGGUGCCCUUCGGAGGGGGGGCUGCAGUCGGGGGCACCGGUGGUGGCAGCGGCAGCAGCACUGAGGACGUGAAACGCCACAGCUCUGCUUCCUUUGAGAAUGUGUGGCUGAGGCCUGGGGAGCUUGGGGGAGCCCCCAAGGAGCCGGCUCAGGUGUGUGGGACUGCGGGGGGUUUGGAGAAUGGUCUCAACUACAUAGACCUGGAUUUGGUCAAGGACGUCAAACAGCGCCCUCAGGAGCGCCCCCCUCAAUCGCAGCCUCCCGCACCCCCGCCCCAGCAUCAGCCAAUGGGCAGCAGUGAGAGCAGUUCCACCAACCGCUCCAGUGAGGAUGUAAGCGCCUAUGCCAGCAUCAGCUUCCAGAAGCAGCCAGAGGACCUCCAGUAGCUCAACUGGACACCACACACAGCAGGUCCUUUACUCCUUUGCUACAUAAAAUGUGGGCUUGAGACCAGCAGCACUGGGGUCACCUGGGAGCUGGUUAGGAUAUGCAGAAUCCUGGGCCCCACCCCAAGACUAGUGAGUCAGAAUCUGCAACAACACCCCACGGAGAUCUUAAGUACAUUAAAGUUUGAGAAGCACUGUUUUAUUUUUUCCCUUCAGAAUUUGUUUGUUAUUUUCUCUGUACUUUACUUUGUCUUAACAGGGAAGGCCAGAGCUAGACAUGUUACUAUAACAAUGGCUCGAAUAUUACCAAGUAUAGUGAAGCUCUGCAUAGAAUGGGAAAUUAGCAAGGACCUGCUUGCUGUCAAUCCUUGCCCCUCUGUCUGAAGACUCGGGAUCCAAGAAGAAAUGAUGUAAGCAAGUCAGUGGCUAUCUUUAUGGGCCCUGUUCAUACUGCUGAAUGUUUGGGAGUGAGGAGAGAGCUUAGAGUGGGAAGAAAGAGGAGCAUCUCUGAAGAAAUAAGUCCUGACAUGAACAUUUCCGUAGUCAUGCUCUUCCUUGUACUGUUAACGGCAGGAAAGAGGGGAAAAACCAAACGAACAGAAUGAAGACCUAAAUGACCUCAGCAAAUCCUCCUUUAACUCAUGGGUACCCAGACUCUAACUAUUUCGUGAUCCACAACCAGGACCUCACAUCUUCCUCCUCAGUAGAUGGUACGAUGCAUCCAUUUCAGUUUGUUUACUUCAUAUACAAUCCUCAGGAGUUCGUUGACUGAACUGCACGUUCUAUAUUGUGCCAAGCGAAAAAAAGCACUGUGACAUCGGAACAAUGAGUCUGCAUAAACUUCAUCUUCAACCUUAAGGACUUAGCUGGCCACAUGAGCUGAUGUGCCCACCAUGCCACGAGAGAAUGGGUUUACUCUCAUUGCAUAUAACAAGACACAUUUCAUCUGCUGCUGAAACCGCAUACGACAAAGCAUCGUUGUAAAUUAUUUCACGCAGAACAGUUCGCGUUGGGUGGAGAGAGUAUUAAAUAUUUAACGUAGGUUUUGAUUUAUACGUGUAAUUUUUUUUAAUUAAAAUGUAAUUUUUCUUAUAGCACACAUCUUUUUUUUUCUUUUUUUCUUUUUCUUUUUUUUUUUUUUGGAUGUGGACCUGAGGUAUACAAGUGUUCUGUUGUAAAGAGUGGAGCAAAUGCUUAAAACAAGGCUGACAGGAGUAGAUUAGGAUACGGCCCUUGUUUUAAGAUUAUAAUUCAGAAAAAAUAAUAUAAGAAUCAUAGUGCCAUAGAUGGUUUUCAAUUGUAUAGUUAUAUUUGCUGAUACUAUCUCUUGUAUUAUAUAGCCCUGAUGUUGAGCUGAGAUCCUUACAAGAAUUGAUCUUAAUUUUGUAUUUUUCCUGUAAGGCAGUAGGCCAUGUUAAUUAAACUGAAGAAGGAUAUAUUCUCCUGGGUGUUUUCAAGGGUCAGCUAAAAAUUGGCAAUUGAAUGGAAGCAAAAUUCUAAGAAAAGGACAUCAGAGUCUUCCGUUGUACAUACUGUAAAGAGAAGGAGACAUGGGCGAUCCCUCUGGAAUGAACAAUGUGGGUGUUUGUAAAUUCUGGAAUUUUUUUUUUUUUCUAUUCCUAAUAAACUAGACUGUUGAUCUUUUCUUCUUCCCUUCCCCCCACUUCUGUAAGCUUCUUGCUCCAAUGCCACCAUUUUCUUCUGUGCACACAUUAGGUUAUUUCGUUUCCGGCAUGGUCUCAAGAAAGAUGGCCAGACAAGUGAGUACUUGUCUUGAAUUUCUAACCAGAAGUGUUUUUUUGGUUUUUUGUUUGUUUGUUUGUUUGUUUUUAUCAUGACUAGUGCUACAUGUCACUUUCUUUAAGACCUUAUGUCCUGUUUUCUGACAACUUCUAGUGUUACAUUAUUUAACCGAAUGCAAUUUGGCCCAUCUGCCCCGGUGGGUACUAGUUUAUUAGUGAUUAGUUAACAAAACCCAGUGUAGAGAGAGCCCAUCAAAAAGCUUAAUGACCUGCUAUUGGGACAUCUAGCCAGUAGUGAAAAUGUCAAUCCUUUUCUUCUUUGAGAGAAAGUACACCCAUUUUGGAUUUUUUUCCUUGUGAAAAAGAAAUGGCAAUGAACGCACUUAAAGAGAUUGCCUACAGAGUUUUUAACCUUUUUUACCAGGACACUUCCUAUAGGUUAAGUGAACGAAUGCCAGUAUCGGGCUCCCUAAGAGUCUGUGUAAACUCUGUAUCAGAAAUUCCGAGACAUACUGUUGAGAAGAGCAACAUUUUAUUGCUCCGAAGGGUUGUACUCACUCCCUGGGUGGGGGUGAGGACACACGGAGGGGGCCAGGGUUGGGGUGCCCUUGCAGUGGCUGCUGCCCCUUCUCACCUGGCCAGGGGACCCCUGCUCUACUCGAAAGGGAGUGGAGAUAAAUGGAACCCCUCACACUGCUGAGGCCUGUGUUACUGUUAAUUCAGCCAGAUGGCAUGGACCUCACAGACAGUUGUGCAAUGUUCAUUGUUGCAGAUUCUAAUCAUUUGCAUGCUCAUCAAUUUCCAAGAUAAAUCGGUCUGUAGGCAUAAGAAUCCAUUGUUUUCAAGGAACUUGCUGAAUUACAUCAUUUCCUAUGAGGAGAGAACACUACCAAUUUUUUAAAAAUCUGAUAUGAGAGUUUUUUUUACUCUUUUAUGAAAAAGACUUUGUUGGUCAAACUAGCUUUCAUUUUUCAAGUAUUCUGACUCAUACUCUUGUUAGAGAGAAAUCAGCGAGCAAGGUCAGCCCCCGCCAUUCUUCUGUAAAGCUGAUUAUUUCUCAAGGAACCUAAACUUGGAAUCUUUAUUACUAAGAUACCUCUGCAUGUGGAAUUCUCAGCGUCUUUUGGGUGAGAACAGAAAUGAACAGACUGGAAAAACUCAUCUCUUGGUUUCUAUUUCUCUGCUGUUUUGUUUGGUCAGAUAGCGUAAGGGUAAAAAUUCUUAUUGAAGCUGCUGCUCGUUGGCCCUGAGCUGGGUUCGAACUUCCCCGAUUUAAGACUGGAAGUUGCUGGUAUUUAAGGCAAAAAACUCAUGCUCUGGCUACAUGAGGGGUUGGUCUUGAUCGACAUCAGCUUCUAAGUCCUUGUGUUUGGUUCCUCUUGAGGAAAGUCGGUUUGUAUCCGUUUCCAAGUGUUUAUAGGCCAGCUAAGGGCUUACGUUAAUGAGGCUUCUAGUGGUCUCUGGCAGAGUUUUAAAAUUCUCCUUUGUAGAAAGAACAAAUAGGUUUCGUGAAUUCGAUGAUAUCUUCAUUCAGGGCAAAAAAAAAAAAAGAUCCUAGAACCAGCCAGAAGUGAAGAAAAGCCAUUAAUGAUCAACUGCCUGAGUCAAUAAUGACAAAUCAGUCCCGAUGUUACAUUUGUGACUUUUCUUGCUAACUUUCAAAGGUCAGGGACUCUCUUGACUAAUCUAGGUUGACUACAAAAAUGGAUUUACUAAAAAUCACCUAGCCAGAAGGAGAGAUUUUUAACCUUUCUUUCCCUGACUAUUGUCUUCUGGCUGUCUUUUAAAUUUGAGACAUACUAAGAAAAACAACUUUACUGUAAGAACCAGUAUUUUACAGUCCUGAAGCCCUGUUGUGUCCCAUCUUGCAUGCUGCGUGCAAUGUGCCACGUAGUUGAACACUUUUAUUUACUGAAGGUGGUUUACAAACAGGGGAAGAGAGCUCAUUUUCCUCUGACGAAUAGAGCCAUGAAAAAUGGGAUAGAUGCAACGUGCUCUGACCGCUUUGGCCGAGCUCUGUGCGUCAGUCCAUCAUGCAAGGAGGUGUUGAAACCCCAGACACUGGGAAUUAAGACCUUGAUUGGGGAGAGACAGAACCCUUUGGAAGGCGUGCGAAGGGGAAUGAUGGAUGAAAGCCAAAUAUGAAAUCGCUUCUUUGCAAUGACUUGACAGGGGAGUGAGCGUUCCUAGGACACGGUGAAUGUUAGUUGGCAGGAACGAUGCACUCACAUAGACUGCCGAGAAAUGAGAGGAAGAAGCAUGUGCUUCUAGGGAUAUGAAGAAAAAGGACCUCGCCAAUUCUAAGAGAAAGACCUCCAGUCUGUGAGAUCAGUUAGGGAGAGCCAAAGCAUCCUUCUCGUAGUCAGUAGAAGGUGAGGGGUUACACACUGGUGCCCUUGAGCAUUUUCAAAGCCAAGCCCAGGAAACCCCGGAAGUCCUCUCCAACCUCCAGAAAUCAGUCUCCUAAGUGUAGGUAGGAAAUGUGUGGAUCAGAUGGCAUGUUGGGGUGUCCCUCACUCCUUGUCACCAGAGUAUCAAGUUAGGUGCUGGGAGGAGGCAGAGUGAUAUUGAUGGUGUUUGACCCUCCUCUUGGGGGAAUUUAUCAGUAAUAAAGAGCUUAUAAUCAAGUAUUAAGAUUAGAAAAAGUGUGUCUUAGCUGGGGAGUUGUCUUUCCUGGUUUGUUGAUGACUUGGCAUUUGUGACAUAUACACCGAGAGAUCUGGUGUUUUAGACUUUUGCCAUUCACCUGGCAUUUCAGUUUCUCUGCUAUGUGGUUAAUUUUCCCAGUGUUUACCAAUAAGCCACAUAAUAGGACAACUUCAGUAAACAGGAAAAUUUGUAUUUAUAUAGACAUCUUUUGUGCCGUUAUUAUUUUUUUCUUUUUAGAACUUUGCUAUUGGCUUAAGAAUGUAGUUCCCGGAAUAAUUUUUCUUACAAAGCUCUUUCCUUACACCUCUUGGCUACAGGGUGGGCCAAAUUAAAUACAUAUAUAUUUUUUCAUUUAAUGUAUGUGCGGUUUGAUUUAUCAUCUUAAGAUGGUGGUGCUGCUCAUGGUGCUACUUCAUCUGUAUACAAAAGGACCAAUGCAUGGUCUAUAUUGCUACCAAAACAUUUAUUGUAUAUAUGUGUAUAACAUGUAUUAUGUAUAUAUGUAAUGGGUACCAGGCCAGGUAUAUAUUUUUAUUUGGAAGUGUUUCACUUUUCCAAGUUUUCUUUAUAGUGUUAUGCUUAUUUUCAGUUUUUUUUCCCCCCUGAUUCUGUCUGGUACUUAGAACUGUAGUGUCUUCAUCAUUAAUUAAAGAAAACUGUCUAAAUGAA